GAGAAAAGCAGACAAAGCCAGAGAGGACCAGUUACCAGCUCGUAAGGAGGAGCGCUUUGAAAUGACUGCACAGCCUGCUCUGCCCUCAGGGACUGGCCGGACGUACGCCCAUCCCUCCUUUUCUGCUGCCUAUGAAUGCCUGAGAUGAACAGGACUCUUCCGAGCUGCUGAGGAUCUGGCUUCGAGGUGAAAAGGUCAAGUGCUUCCCAUCAGAAAACCCAGCAAGAAAAGAGUUUGGAACGUGAACGGAGUCUGUCACUCCAGACCAACCAGCACUCUACAGAAUGAGGGCAAGAUAGUGGGGCUUUGGGGGAGGGGGGGCAUUGUUCUUGGUUUUGAGUCUGCUUCCCAAUAUGGAGAGCUAAGCAGACCUCUGACUCUAGACCCUGCAGCCUUGGUUUCUGUGAAUCACCACUCAGCUUCUGUCUGCUCUGCAAAGCUCAUGAAGGACCCUUCCCUUGUGACCCUUCAGGGCUGUGGUGGUUUCCCCUGCACGAGUGGGUAGGCACACAGCAUCAUCUUAGCCAGAUCACAGGCUCACUCACCCAAGUGGACCAGAGGUCCCAUGCCUCGGAAGCUCCCUGUGGUCAGACAGGCCAGAGGUGCAGAUGGGGCAAUGGGACACUCAGGUCACAAGAGCUUUGACUCAUUUCAGUCAGUCUGAAGCCAAGACAGGGUUGGAUUCACGACCUCUGCCGCUGCCCCAUCCCUAUUUGGUCAGGGACAGGGGGACAGCUGCUGGAGCUCUGUCUGUGUGCAUUCCUGGAACCCUAGGCUCUCUCUGGACUGGUCUCUGAUCUUCCCUGCAUCCUCCUCUCAUCUGGAGAGGAAAGCGCAAUGGGUCUUUAGCAGAUCUUCAAAGAAAAUGAAAAAAGACAGAGCUUAGAAGGAGAGGAAGAAACUGC
rnacentral:lncRNA from 1 species